AUUGAACGCUGGCGGCAUGCCUUACACAUGCAAGUCGAACGGUAACGGGUCCUUCGGGAUGCCGACGAGUGGCGAACGGGUGAGUAAUAUAUCGGAACGUGCCCAGUAGUGGGGGAUAACUGCUCGAAAGAGCAGCUAAUACCGCAUACGACCUGAGGGUGAAAGGGGGGGAUCGCAAGACCUCUCGCUAUUGGAGCGGCCGAUAUCAGAUUAGCUAGUUGGUGGGGUAAAGGCCUACCAAGGCAACGAUCUGUAGUUGGUCUGAGAGGACGGCCAGCCACACUGGGACUGAGACACGGCCCAGACUCCUACGGGAGGCAGCAGUGGGGAAUUUUGGACAAUGGGCGCAAGCCUGAUCCAGCAAUGCCGCGUGCAGGAAGAAGGCCUUCGGGUUGUAAACUGCUUUUGUCAGGGAAGAAAUCUUCUGGGCUAAUACCCCGGGAGGAUGACGGUACCUGAAGAAUAAGCACCGGCUAACUUCGUGCCAGCCGCCGCAGUAA
rnacentral:rRNA from 1 species